rnacentral:sRNA from 1 species
UUUUUGCUAUCUGCGAACUGGAUGAUUCGAACCUGCAGCAGGUUCGAGCCGAACGUAGUGAGGCACCGGAGCCGUUUACGGCGACGGCCCGAAGGGCGAGCGAAGCGAGUCAUCCUGCACGACCCACCA